CCGUAGCUCAACGGAUAGAGCAUCUGACUACGGAUCAGAAGGUUAGGGGUUCGAAUCCCUUCGGGUG
rnacentral:tRNA from 1 species